rnacentral:rRNA from 1 species
GACGAACGCUGGCGGCGUGCUUAACACAUGCAAGUCGAACGGAAAGGCCCUGCUUUUGUGGGGUGCUCGAGUGGCGAACGGGUGAGUAACACGUGAGUAACCUGCCCUUGACUUUGGGAUAACUUCAGGAAACUGGGGCUAAUACCGGAUAGGAGCUCCUGCUGCAUGGUGGGGGUUGGAAAGUUUCGGCGGUUGGGGAUGGACUCGCGGCUUAUCAGCUUGUUGGUGGGGUAGUGGCUUACCAAGGCUUUGACGGGUAGCCGGCCUGAGAGGGUGACCGGCCACAUUGGGACUGAGAUACGGCCCAGACUCCUACGGGAGGCAGCAGUGGGGAAUAUUGCACAAUGGGCGGAAGCCUGAUGCAGCAACGCCGCGUGCGGGAUGACGGCCUUCGGGUUGUAAACCGCUUUCGCCUGUGACGAAGCGUGAGUGACGGUAAUGGGUAAAGAAGCACCGGCUAACUACGUGCCAGCAGCCGCGGUGAUACGUAGGGUGCGAGCGUUGUCCGGAUUUAUUGGGCGUAAAGGGCUCGUAGGUGGUUGAUCGCGUCGGAAGUGUAAUCUUGGGGCUUAACCCUGAGCGUGCUUUCGAUACGGGUUGACUUGAGGAAGGUAGGGGAGAAUGGAAUUCCUGGUGGAGCGGUGGAAUGCGCAGAUAUCAGGAGGAACACCAGUGGCGAAGGCGGUUCUCUGGGCCUUUCCUGACGCUGAGGAGCAAAAGCGUGGGGAGCGAACAGGCUUAGAUACCCUGGUAGUCCACGCUGUAAACGGUGGGUACUAGGUGUGGGGUCCAUUCCACGGGUUCCGUGCCGUAGCUAACGCUUUAAGUACCCCGCCUGGGGAGUACGGCCGCAAGGCUAAAACUCAAAGGAAUUGACGGGGCCCCGCACAAGCGGCGGAGCAUGCGGAUUAAUUCGAUGCAACGCGUAGAACCUUACCUGGGUUUGACAUGGAUCGGGAGUGCUCAGAGAUGGGUGUGCCUCUUUUGGGGUCGGUUCACAGGUGGUGCAUGCCUGUCGUCAGCUCGUGUCGUGAGAUGUUGGGUUAAGUCCCGCAACGAGCGCAACCCUUGUUCACUGUUGCCAGCACGUUAUGGUGGGGACUCAGUGGAGACCGCCGGGGUCAACUCGGAGGAAGGUGGGGAUGACGUCGAGUCCUCAUGCCCCUUAUGUCCAGGGCUUCACGCAUGCUACAAUGGCUGGUACAGAGAGUGGCGAGCCUGUGAGGGUGAGCGAAUCUCGGAAAGCCGGUCUCAGUUCGGAUUGGGGUCUGCAACUCGACCUCAUGGAGUCGGAGUCGCUAGUAAUCGCAGAUCAGCAACGCUGCGGUGAAUACGUUCCCGGGGC